GACGAACGCUGGCGGCGUGCCUAAUACAUGCAAGUCGAACGCAGUGGGGACGGGUGAGUAACACGUGGGUAACCUCCCAUCAGAUGGGAUAACACUUGGAAACAGGUGCUAAACCGAUACUGAUGGAUGGACCCGCGGUGCAUUAGCUAGUUGGUGAGGUAACGGCUCACCAAGGCCAAGAUGAAUAGCGGACAUGAGAGGCGAAGCGGCCAAACUGGGACGGAGCCACGGCCUAGAAUCCGACGGGAGGCAACAGUAGGGAAUAUUCGGCAAUGAAAGAAAGUCUGACCCAGCAACGCGGCGUGAGUGAAGAAGGUUUUCGGAUCGUAAAGCUCUGUUGUUAGAGAAGCGGUAUCGAACAAGAAAGCCACGGCUAACUACGUGCCAGCCGUCGCGGUAAUAC
rnacentral:rRNA from 1 species